rnacentral:rRNA from 1 species
GACGAACGCUGGCGGCGUGCUUAACACAUGCAAGUCGAACGGAAAGGCCCUGCUUUUGUGGGGUGCUCGAGUGGCGAACGGGUGAGUAACACGUGAGUAACCUGCCCUUGACUUUGGGAUAACUUCAGGAAACUGGGGCUAAUACCGGAUAGGAGCUCCUGCUGCAUGGUGGGGGUUGGAAAGUGUCGGCGGUUGGGGAUGGACUCGCGGCUUAUCAGCUUGUUGGUGGGGUAGUGGCUUACCAAGGCUUUGACGGGUAGCCGGCCUGGGAGGGUGGCCGGCCACAUUGGGCCUGAGGUACGGCCCAGACUCCUACGGGACGCAGCAGUGGGGAAUAUUGCGCAAUGGGCGGAAGCCUGAUGCAGCAACGCCGCGUGCGGGAUGACGGCCUUCGGGUUGUAAACCGCUUUCGCCUGUGACGAAGCGUGAGUGACGGUAAUGGGUAAAGAAGCACCGGCUAACUACGUG